CUUGAUUUGUACUAGAAGUAGUAGUAGUAGUAGUUCCUGCGAAACAGUAUAGUACAGGCUGAAGUUGGGCAAACACGCUCUUUUUUGCGGUGGAAGCUUGCACAAAGACCUUCAAUAGAGCUUAUAGCUUCUUUCAUAAAGCAUAUGAAGGCCACUGAAGCCAAGUCUCGUAGAAAUAUGCGAUAAAUAUCUUCUCCAGUACUUAAUAUCAAAAGCCUGACCAUUUUUGAUUCCUCCAUUGGGCAAAAUAUUCAGCGAUGUGGCCAUAGCAGAUGUUAAGCUUUGUUCUCGAAGACAACAGUUCCCAGACUGGCACCAAGCCAUUUUCCUCGAGGUUUUCAUUCUUGUGUGUGUUGAUUUUGAUUUUGUUGAAUUCCGAGGAGUCUGAGAAAUGGCUAUCACAUCCAAGGAAGGCGGCAGGCACGCAAAUUACCCAAUCCCAAUACAUGUACGGGGAGGUAAUGACAAUAAAUAACGAUACAAGGCCUUUUGGUUUUUUAGUUGGAAUGAGUAUAAUUUAAAUACCUUAAUGAGGAACAAUUGGAGGGCAAGUUGGCAAGUCUGGUACCAGCAGCUACGGUAAUUCCAGCUUCAAGAGCCUAAAUUAAAGUUCUUGCAGUUAAAAAGCUCGUAUGUUGAAGUUUGGUGGUAACUAUUAAUUUAGUUAUUGCCACCUCUUUCGGGAAAUGAUACUUUAAAAAAAAAAAGUAAAUGAAAGUGUUCAAAGCAGGCAACGCCUGAAUCUUAUAGCAUGGAAUAAUAAAAUAAGCUGAUUUUUCAUUUGUUGGUUUCCCAAAAUCAUAAUGAUUAAUUAGGAACGGUCGGGGACAUCAGUGUUCAAUAGUUAGAGGUGAAAUUCUUAGAUUUAUUGAAGACUAUCUACUGCAAAAGCAUUUGUCAAGCACGUUUUCACUAAUCAAGAACGAAAGUUAGGGGAUUGAAGAUGAUCAGAAACCGUCGUAGUCUUAACCAUAAACUAUACCGACUAGGCAUCGGAUGUUUGUUCAAAAUUUUGACACAUUCGGCACCUUACGAGAAAUCAAAGUUUUUGGGUUCUGGAGGGAGUAUGAUCGCAAGGCUGAAACUUAAAGGAAUUGGCGGAAGGGCACCACCAAAAUGUCCUAUUGGAAAAGUUCGCCCACUUAUAGACUAUAUU
rnacentral:rRNA from 1 species